AUAGUAUUGAUGAGACUAACAAUUUAGCGUCACUUAUCUCCCUUAACCCGUUCCUCUGUAUGCCUUACUAUGCUCCUUGAUUAAUUUUCCAGCUUGGCUGUGGCCAUGGACUUCCUGGUAUCUUUGCCUGCCUUGAGGGUGCAGCUGCUAUUCAUUUCUAGGACUUCAAUGUUGAGGUCCUGCAAUGUCUCACAAUACCCAAUGUAAAUGCAAAUGUUCCAAGCUUCCAACCCCUAACAUUGCAAGAGACACAGUGUGGUAUGGGGGUGGAAAUUUGUUUUUUUGCUGCGGACUGGCGUGAAGUCCAUAACCUUCUUCCCUAUGCACAAAACAAUGAGAAGGAUGUUAAUGUUAGUUCAGGGCAAAGUCUAGAUGCAGAAUAUGAUAUUAUAUAUUUUAAUGGCAGAGACAGUUUACUCAAUCUCCACUCUUCAGCAUCUCUAUGAACUCAUAAAGAAGGUAUUAUCUAUAUAGUUCUCCACUCUUCAGCAUCUCGAAAGUUCCUAUCAGUGGUGAAGAAAGAUGGUGAGCUAGUUGGAAAUUUAGACUCAUGUUUAAAAAAUUACAGAGCACUAUAUCACUAUAGAAUUUGUUGGCUCUUGUUUCCUAUCUACCUGAUUCAUUGGGUGAAAGUGAAUAGGUGCAUCAUACUAUAAUCAUGUAGGAGUGGGCCUUUUUUUAAAAAUAAUUAUUUAUUUAUUUGUUACUAAUAUGGUUUCUAUGUUAAAUAUUAUGAAUAUGUUUACGCUUUAAAGCAAUGAAGCUCAGGGGAUGUGUUUAUUGACUGUUCAUGAAUAUGCAUAUGAACUUCAUUAAUUUUCAACCCUUUCACUUACUACCUAUUUACCAAUUUCUUUCUCUCUCAAUCUGUUGGUAUCAUAUGCCAAAGCCAUUCAUAUGCAAUUUAAAUGUUUACUUUUUUCUUUUUUGUCUAGAGUAUAAAAGAAAUAAAUCUAAGAGCUGCAGAAAUUGAAGAAAACAAUGUUUUACCACUUGCUAUAAUUUUACAUCGUAGGCUUAAUUGUUUCAUGUUUGAUUCAGGAUAAUUUGCUAGAUGUGCAUUAUGAAAUUCAAUGAUCAAGUAUUUUCCACUAACAUUAUGAGUGCUACUGUGAAGUUCUGGAUCUUCUCAAAGGCCUUGAUGUUACAAUGCUUUUUUAUGACCUGCCAUUCAGUGAAGAGAAAAUAAGCCGAGUGCAUGCAGCAAGGAGGCUUUAUGAGUAUCUGGGAGACAAUGAUCUAAACUUUCCUGUAAUACACCAUAUUCAGUUUCCAAGUGGAAUUCAUAGGUAAUUACAAGGUUCACUCGUUUCCUCUUUUGUCAGAUAUCUAUGGUAUUAGACUUUGUAGUAUACCAAUUUUCCAUGAAUUGGGUGUAAAUAUGCCAUGUUGCUGUUAGUAUUUCUUUUCUCUGUUGAUACAAACACUAGUCACUAAGGUGUUGUAGUGUACUUGCGUUUCCAAAUCAUAUCAAUGAUAAUUCCUGUCUCUAUCUCUUUCUGCCUAUUUAUUGAUUUUUCCAUUGUGUGGAGUCCAAUAUUUGAAGCUUUAAACUUUUGGGUAGAUGUAAGACAUCUAAUUUAAGAUGCAUUCAUACAAAAAUGGUAGGCUUGGUCGCCAACAGCUAUGGUAUACAUGACUGAAAAAUGACCCUAAAUCUUGUUAGGAGUUAUUCUACCAUUUCCAGAAUUUAUAUUAUUCAGAACUAGGUUAUGAGACUGAAUUGGGUUUUGAUCAGGUGGGCAUACUCCAGGAUGGUAAGAUGUGUAGCCUCAUGAUCCUCAAGUUCAAGAUGCAGCCAACCAUGUUGUGAAGAGCCUUCAACAAAAGUCCAAUUCAUUGUUCCCUUAUGAGCUUCAAGAGACUGUCCAUGCUAAGGCAGAGGUCAGUAGUGAUUUCCUUCAAUGUGUUUUUUUUUUUGUUUAUCUAUCAUUGAUAUGUUGAGCUCGAUAGUUGGGGUAGCUAUUGGUUAUGUUUAAUUAGCUGUCAGCUCCAUCGAGUAUUGGGUGAUAUUUCUGUUUUCUGCAUGAUUUUAGGAAUUGUUAAUUUGCUGAGCAUUUUUCUUCUAGUAUUACCAAUAUUGGCUUAUCAUCUCUAGGUUCAAGUAUCUACAAGCAUUUGAUAUGAGUGGCUAAAUCUGUUUUGAUAUUCUGACUCUUCCCGCGUUUGACACCCUAGCUGAACCAGUGGGGCAUUUCAUGAUUUUCGAAAAACCUAUACUUCUUGUUUUACUCUCAGUUUUUUGAUAUCUUAAAUGAGACUCUUCAAUGAUCAUUUUGAACAUGGUUUUGUGUAAAAAGGAGUUAAAAUGAGAUACUUAUGCUAUUUUGAAGUUACUGCACUGUUUCAGGAUUUCUGCAGAAUUCAGCAUUUCAGUCACUUUCGAUUCUUGUUUGACCAUCCAUUUGAACUGCGAAUAGCAUGAAACUAUGCAAAAUAGUAGCUUUGCAUGUCUACUUGAAAUCUGGAAAGUUGUGCUUAAAAUCACUGAAAGUAUAGUUGUUGGUGAAUUUUUCUUUCUUGUUACCAGAUUUCUGAAACUGUCUCAAGCUUGCAGCUUAUUGUUACUCUUAGAAUGCUUAUGAGUAUGUUUGUAGGAUUUUGGGUAUUUCCGGAAAUUUUUAUGGUUUUAGUUCAUGUUUUUUCGACUUAGAAAUCAAACCCUUUUGAUUAUUUUCUGUAUAACUGUUUUAGAUUUGAAAGGGGUUUUCUUGGUCUUCAUAGAUGCAUUUAAACACGAUGCAUUUUUAGCUGUUCUGGUGCUAUACUUGGGGAGUUCAGUUUGUUUUCCAAAUUAUCCUUUGUACCAUAAAUGAAAUUUUAAUCAUUCAUGCUCUUUUUUUCCUAAUGAAAUUACCUUCUACUAAUGUUUACCUUUUAAUAUGUUUUGGUGCAUUUUUGGGUUUGUACCUUAUACAUGUGUUAUAAAUCAACUUCACUCGACCCUAAAUCUAAUGUAAGUUAAGC